rnacentral:rRNA from 1 species
CCUACGGGAGGCUGCAGUGGGGAAUAUUGCGCAAUGGGCGAAAGCCUGACGCAGCGACGCCGCGUGAGUGAUGAAGGUCUUCGGAUCGUAAACCUCUGUCAGCAGGGAAGAACGGUCACUGUGCUAAUCAGCAGUGAAUUGACGGUACCUGCAAAGGAAGCACCGGCUAACUCCGUGCCAGCAGCCGCGGUAAUACGGAGGGUGCGAGCGUUAAUCGGAAUUACUGGGCGUAAAGCGCUCGUAGGCGGUAUGUCAAGUCAAGGGUGAAAUCCCCGCGCUCAACGUGGGAACUGCCUUUGAAACUGGCAAACUGGAGUGUGUGAGAGGAUGGUGGAAUGCCAGGUGUAGGAGUGAAAUGCGUAGAUAUCUGGAGGAACAUCAGUGGCGAAGGCGACUAUCUGGCACAUAACUGACGCUGAGGAGCGAAAGCGUGGGUAGCAAACAGGAUUAGAUACCCUAGUAGUC